UACGGGGGGGGCAAGCGUUGUUCGGAAUUACUGGGCGUAAAGGGCUCGUAGGCGGCCAACUAAGUCAGACGUGAAAUCCCUCGGCUUAACCGGGGAACUGCAUCUGAUACUGGAUGGCUUGAGUUCGGGAGAGGGAUGCGGAAUUCCAGGUGUAGCGGUGAAAUGCGUAGAUAUCAGGAGGAAUACCGGUGGUGCAGACGGCUCUCUGGACCGCGACUGACGCUGAGACACGAAAGCGUGGGUAGCAAACAGG
rnacentral:rRNA from 1 species